rnacentral:rRNA from 1 species
UGGGGAAUAUUGGACAAUGGGCGAAAGCCUGAUCCAGCAAUGCCGCGUGAGUGAUGAAGGCCUUAGGGUUGUAAAGCUCUUUUACCAGGGAAGAUAAUGACUGUACCGGGAGAAUAAGCCCCGGCUAACUCCGUGCCAGCAGCCGCGGUAAUACGGAGGGGGCUAGCGUUGUUCGGAAUUACUGGGCGUAAAGCGCACGUAGGCGGCUUUACAAGUCAGGGGUGAAAGCCCGCGGCUCAACCGCGGAAUUGCCCUUGAGACUGUAUCGCUUGAACACGGGAGAGGUCAGUGGAAUUCCGAGUGUAGAGGUGAAAUUCGUAGAUAUUCGGAAGAACACCAGUGGCGAAGGCGACUGACUGGACAAGUAUUGACGCUGAGGUGCGAAAGCGUGGGGAGCAAACA